rnacentral:misc_RNA from 1 species
AACGGUCUAUACCUGCGGUACCUGCGGAAGGAUCAUUACCGAGUUCGGGGCUCUGCUCCAACUCCCACCCUUGUUUACCAAGCGUUGCUUCGGCGAGACGUUGGAAGCAACCAUCGGUGAUUGGUGACAAAAACCGAUGUGCGCUCGCCGGACUCCAAAUACUCUGAGAUUAUGUAUCGUCAGAUGAAACAAGCAAUUGAAUAAAAACUUUUAACAAUGGAUCUCUAGAUCGGAAGAGCA